GACGAACGCUGGCGGCGUGCUUAACACAUGCAAGUCGAGCGGCAGCGCGGGAGCAAUCCUGGCGGCGAGCGGCGAACGGGUGAGUAAUGCUUCGGAAUCUGCCCUUCAGUGGGGAAUAACCAGUCGAAAGACUGGCUAAUACCGCAUACGAACUGAGGUUGAAAGCAGGGGAUCGCAAGACCUUGCGCUGAUGGAUGAGCCGAAGUCGGAUUAGCUUGUUGGUGGGGUAAUGGCCUACCAAGGCGACGAUCCGUAGCUGGUCUGAGAGGACGACCAGCCACACUGGGACUGAGACACGGCCCAGACUCCUACGGGAGGCAGCAGUGGGGAAUAUUGGACAAUGGGGGCAACCCUGAUCCAGCGACGCCGCGUGUGUGAAGAAGGCCUGCGGGUUGUAAAGCACUUUUAGUGGGGAGGAAGGUCUGCGACCUAACACGUCGUGGAAUUGACUUAACCCACAGAAAAAGCACCGGCUAACUCUGUGCCAGC
rnacentral:rRNA from 1 species